UACGGGGGGGGCAAGCGUUGUUCGGAAUUACUGGGCGUAAAGGGCCAGUAGGCGGCCAACUAAGUCCGACGUGAAAUCCCAAGGCUUAACCUUGGAACUGCGUCGGAUACUGGAUGGCUUGAAUUCGGGAGAGGGAUGCAGAAUUCCAGGUGUAGCGGUGAAAUGCGUAGAUAUCUGGAGGAAUACCGGUGGCGAAGGCGGCAUCCUGGACCGAGAUUGACGCUGAUGAGCGAAAGCUAGGGGAGCAAACGGG
rnacentral:rRNA from 1 species